CCAUAGCCUUGAACCUAACCUAAAUCUAUUUGAAUUUAAUUGGAUGCUUAAUUGUGAGCCUAAGAGGAUUUGAUUAAGUCGAUUAGUUAGCAUAAUUAUCCUAACAUUAUGUCUUCUUUAUCUCCUAAUUAUCUCUAAAUGUGCAUGUGGAAUGGAUGGAAGAUUGGGUGGCGCCUUCCUUCUCUUUUGGCAGGAAUUGGGUGCCAAAUCUUAGAGGGGCCCGCCCCCUCUUAUGUGGCAUGGUGUGGAGGAGAGAGAGGUGGGGCCAUGCCCCUUCAUAUUUGGAUAGAACCCUAUUGUUGGGGCACCAAGAGUUGGCACCCCAACUGCCUGAUAUGUAUUCCUAUGAUGC
rnacentral:lncRNA from 1 species